GGUAGCCUAGCGGUUAAGAGCAGGUAGCCUAGCGGUUCAGAGCAGGUAGCCUAGCGGUUCAGAGCAGGUAGCCUAGCGGUUCAGAGCAGGUAGCCUAGCGGUUCAGAGCAGGUAGCCUAGCGGUUCAGAGCAGGUAGCCUAGCGGUUCAGAGCAGGUAGC